UCUGCCACGCAAAUGCCAAGCUGGUCUCAGCAGGGCUUGGAGAGUGCACACUCAAACUCAGAAAGCUUUUCUAAAACAGAAUAUUCUGAUUCAAUACACAAUUCCCCAGCUGCUGGGCGACGCGGGAGGAGCUGAGAACCCAUUUCUAGAGGAAAUCUUGGAACCAAUGAGCUUCAUCAGCUAAGCUAAAUACCAGGAGCUUUGUGGCAGGUUCAGAAAACCUUUAAAGAAGUGUCGUAUUAUCUCAGAGCAUAAUGAAGAUUAUGCAGACUAUUUUAUGGUGAAGAAUAGCUCAUGACUUCUGGUCAAAUUCCACUGGCCAGAAGCCAGUUGCAUAGUGGGGAAAUGUAACCUUUCCUUACCCAGGAAGGAUGGACGGCACUGUUUGUCAUGUCUGAGCUGUCACCUGAGAGCUGAUCUUCCUUUACUAAAAUCCAUUCAAGAAACAUUUCUAUCCUUCAAGAUGUCUGAUACAAAGAUACACUGUUUUGACUGAGCCAGCAAAACAUUUACAGAGCAUCGUUUCCCCAAGUACUCCGACGUUACU